AUUGAACGCUGGCGGCAGGCCUAACACAUGCAAGUCGAGCGGAUGAAGGGAGCUUGCUCCUGGAUUCAGCGGCGGACGGGUGAGUAAUGCCUAGGAAUCUGCCUGGUAGUGGGGGAUAACGUCCGGAAACGGGCGCUAAUACCGCAUACGUCCUGAGGGAGAAAGUGGGGGAUCUUCGGACCACACGCUAUCAGAUGAGCCUAGGUCGGAUUAGCUAGUUGGUGGGGUAAAGGCCUACCAAGGCGACGAUCCGUAACUGGUCUGAGAGGAUGAUCAGUCACACGGGAACUGAGACACGGUCCAGACUCCUACGGGAGGCAGCAGUGGGGAAUAUUGGACAAUGGGCGAAAGCCUGAUCCAGCCAUGCCGCGUGUGUGAAGAAGGUCUUCGGAUUGUAAAGCACUUUAAGUUGGGAGGAAGGGCAGUAAGUUAAUACCUUGCUGUUUUGACGUUACCAACAGAAUAAGCACCGGCUAACUUCGUG
rnacentral:rRNA from 1 species